GAGUUUGAUCCUGGCUCAGAACGAACGCUGGCGGCAGGCCUAACACAUGCAAGUCGAGCGCUACCUUCGGGUGGAGCGGCGGACGGGUUAGUAACGCGUGGGAAUAUACCCUUCACUAUGGAAUAGCCUCGGGAAACUGAGAGUAAUACCAUAUACGCCCUUCGGGGGAAAGAUUUAUCGGUGAAGGAUUAGCCCGCGUAAGAUUAGAUAGUUGGUGGGGUAAUGGCCUACCAAAR
rnacentral:rRNA from 1 species